UUCCCGUGUAAGCCAGAUCAAAGAACCAUUUUCUUUGAGAUUUUUCUUGAACAAGUGAGAAGAUGAGUAGUGGAUGAUGGGUGGCUUGGGUAGUGAAUCCGGCUUGGUCAAAAUAGUUUGAAGCUUAUAAUUGUUGUAUCUACAACUGGGUUUACUCUUAUGAAGUGUUGGAAGGACGAUUUGAAGUAUGAGGGUUUGAGAAACUCUUUAAGAGACUAGGGCCAUGCUCAAGAAUGUUCUUGAAAGGAAAUUGAAGAUUUGUGUUUACUAAGGUAUAUGAGCUACUGGAACUUUUGUUGAAGUUGGAGAUUUGGUGGAAAUACGCACGGCGAAUCCGGUGAAUUAAAAAAAAUCAUCAAGGAGGCAAGGAAAGUAAUAAAGCUUUCAAGGGUGACUAGUUGACCGGUGAAUUA